AAAAAGGCAAACCCUACGUUUUCGUGUCCAACUUUGACUGUCCGUCUUAUAUGAAUUUUUUUUAUAAUUGUAUUUUCAUUGUUGUUAGAUGAUAAAACAUGAUUAAUAUUUUAUGCGUGACUUGUCUUUUUAAUUUUUUUCAUAAUUUUUUCAAAUAAGAAGGACGGUCAAAAGUUGGACACGGAAACCAGGGUUUGUCUUUUU
rfam:Oryza glumipatula chromosome 1, whole genome shotgun sequence.